CAAGUGAGUUUCAACGCCACCGCUUCUCCUCUCUCCAACUGCCAACACACACCCAAAGCCUCCGCCCCACACCUCGUUUGGACCGCUAAUAAUUUCCUUUCUCUCGUCUCUCUUCCUAUAUCCUCUCCCCCUGCUGUUUCCAUCAGCUUCAGCUUCAGCUUCAGCUUCAACCCAAUAGAACUCCAUGGACAAAUACCCCACUCAAAAAGACGACGUUUUCCCAUCUCUCAAUCUCCACCCUUCCUACAGUUCCGACGACGGCAGCAAUCGCACCCCCAAAUUCUUCGACCGCUUCUACGACUCCUCCUCCGACGAUGACUUCUGCCCCUCCUCCUCCGCCGCAGCCCCAUCCAUCUCCGAGGGCGUCGAGAACGCCGGAAGACGUCUCGACUACAUGAUCCAGUUCCUGGAGCGCAAGCUCUCCUCUCCCGACCACGAUAGGACUCGCGCUCUCCCCGAAUUUGUAGGUAAGGGCGGCGGCACCGGAAUGUUCAAGGUCCCUGUUCAUGCCUCCGUGCAUCCAGGUCGGCCGCCGAGUCUGGAGGUGAGGCCGCACCCGCUGAGGGAAACGCAGAUUGGGUGUUUUCUGAGGAGUGUUGUGUGCACGGAGUCGCAGUUGUGGGCGGGCCAAGAAUGCGGAGUUAGGGUUUGGAAUUUCGCGGAUUUGUAUGGAUCAGCGUGUGGAGCUGGGGGAGUGACGAGGAGCGGGGAUGAGGAAACGGCCCCGUUUUGUGAAUCGGUGCAGACCCCGGCUGCGAUCUGUUUGGUUGUGGAUGAGGCGAAUAGGGUGGUGUGGAGUGGGCACAAGGACGGCAAGGUCCGAGCUUGGAAGAUGGAUCAGCGUUUGGGUGAUGCUCCUUUUACAGAAUGUCUGGCUUGGCAGGCUCAUCGUACUCCAGUUCUUUCACUCGUUAUGACGUCUUAUGGGGAUUUAUGGUCGGGAUCUGAGGGCGGUGUUAUUAAGAUGUGGCCAUGGGAAACAAUUGAAAAAGUUUUUUCUCUAACGAUGGAAGAAAGACAUAUGGCUGCUUUAUUAGUAGAGAGGUCAUUCAUUGACCUUAGGAGCCAAGUAACUGUGAAUGGGGUCUGUAACAUUUUAGCUUCGGAUGUAAAGUAUAUGAUAUCUGACAAUUGUAGAGCGAAAGUCUGGAGUGCAGGGUAUCAAUCAUUUGCCUUGUGGGAUGCUCGUACAAGGGAGUUGCUCAAAGUGUUCAAUGUUGAUGGUCAGAUGGAGAAUCGAGUGGACAUAUCACCAGUGCAGGAUCCUGCAUUUGAUGAGGAAUGGAAGAUGAAGUUUGUUUCGAGUUCGAAGAAGGAUAAGCUUCAGGCUUCCUUUAGUUUUCUCCAACGCUCACGUAAUGCUAUAAUGGGAGCAGCUGAUGCUGUCCGUCGAGUUGCGGCAAAGGGGGCCUUUGGAGAUGAUAGUCGGAGAACUGAAGCUUUGGUCAUGACAAUAGAUGGUAUGAUUUGGACUGGGUGUACAAGUGGCUUACUUGUGCAAUGGGAUGGAAAUGGCAAUCGUUUACAAGAUUUUCAUUACCAUUCUUUUGCUGUUCAAUGUUUUUGUACAUUUGGAUCACGAAUAUGGGUAGGUUAUGUUAGUGGCACAGUCCAGGUAUUGGAUCUAGAGGGUAAUCUGCUUGGAGGAUGGAUAGCUCAUGACAGUCCUGUGAUAAAUAUGACUAGUGGUGCUGGUUAUGUUUUCACCUUAGCUAAUGAUGGUGGUAUACGUGGCUGGAACACCACAUCUCCUGGACCUCUUGACAGCAUAUUGAGUUCAGAAUUGGCUGGCAAAGAAUUCUUAUAUACAAGGCUAGAAAAUUUGAAAAUAUUAGCUGGUACAUGGAAUGUAGGACAAGGAAGAGCUUCCCAUGAUUCACUUAUAUCCUGGCUAGGUUCUGCAGCCUCAGAUGUUGGCAUCAUUGUUGUCGGGCUGCAAGAAGUGGAAAUGGGUGCUGGUUUUCUUGCAAUGUCUGCCGCAAAAGAAACUGUAGGACUUGAGGGGAGUGCUGUUGGGCAGUGGUGGCUGGAUAUGAUAGGGAGAACUUUGGAUGAAGGGUCAAUAUUUGAACGUGUUGGAUCUAGGCAGCUGGCAGGAUUACUCAUUGCUGUAUGGGUUAGAAAUAAUAUCAGAGCUCAUGUUGGAGAUGUUGAUGCUGCAGCAGUUCCGUGUGGAUUUGGGCGUGCAAUCGGUAAUAAGGGAGCUGUUGGUUUGAGAAUGAGAGUGUAUAAUCGGAUAAUGUGUUUUGUAAACUGUCACUUUGCUGCACAUUUAGAGGCAGUCAAUCGUCGUAAUGCGGACUUUGAUCAUGUAUAUCGAACUAUGAUCUUUAGCCGGCCAUCUAACCCUUUUAAUGCUACAACUGGUAUGAUGUUGUACCUGUUCUUGUCUUGCUCGCUUGCUUGCUUAAUGUGUUUAUAUUGGCUUCUUUAUAGUUCUAGCUUGCCAUUGCUCCUUUCUGUUGCAGCUGGUGUUUCAUCUGCUGUACAAAUGCUGCGAAGUGCAAACUCAGUAGAAGGGACUCCUGAAUUGUCUGAGGCAGACAUGGUUGUAUUCCUUGGUGAUUUUAAUUAUCGGCUUGAUGGCAUAUCUUAUGAUGAAGCAAGGGAUUUUGUUUCUCAAAGAUGUUUUGAUUGGCUUAAAGAAAGGGAUCAACUUCGAGCAGAAAUGGAAGCUGGGAAUGUCUUCCAAGGAAUGCGUGAAGCAGUCAUUAGAUUUCCUCCCACAUACAAGUUUGAAAGGCACCAAGCUGGUUUAGCAGGAUAUGAUUCUGGUGAAAAGAAGCGCAUUCCAGCUUGGUGUGACAGGAUUUUAUAUCGUGAUAGCCGCUCAGCUGCUGUAGCUGAAUGCAAUUUAGAGUGUCCUGUAGUCUCUUCAAUUUUACAGUACGAAGCUUGCAUGGAUGUGACAGACAGUGAUCAUAAGCCUGUUCGUUGCAUGUUUAGUGUUGAUAUUGCUCGAGUAGACGAGUCAGUCAGAAGACAGGAGUUUGGAGAAAUUAUUGGAUCCAAUAAGAGGAUCAGGCAUAUGCUUGAAGAACUGUGCAAGAUUCCAGACACUAUUGUUAGUACAAACAACAUAAUCCUUCAGAAUCAGGACACAUCUAUUUUGCGGAUUACUAAUAAAUCAGGGAAAUAUGAGGCUCUAUUUGAAAUAAUUUGUGAAGGUCAGUCCACCAUUAAGGAGGGUGGACUAGCAUCUGAUCAUCAACCAAGGGGUUCCUUUGGCUUUCCACGAUGGCUUGAGGUCAAUCCAGCAUCUGCCAUCAUCAAACCAGAUCAUGUUACAGAGGUGGCGGUUCAUCAUGAGGAAUUCCAAACCCUAGAAGAAUUUGUUGAUGGCAUCGCACAAAAUUGGUGGUGUGAAGACUCUAGAGACAAGGAAGUUAUAUUGGUAGUUAAGAUUCGUGGCAAGUUCACCACUGAGACAAGAAAUCACCGCAUCAGAGUGCGGUACUGCAUUGCGGCUAAGAAAUUACCUAUUGAUUCAAAAUCUAACUCCUCUAGGCAAGCACAAGGAACUGUCCUUCACCGAUCUGAUAUUCAGCGCCUAAGUGGUUCCUCUGAUGUGGUUGCUCACCUGCGGAAUAUGCACAGUCCUUAGGGCAGCAAUGAUUCUGUCUGCACAUCAAUCCGUGAGUAGGUCAACAAGGAAGAUGAAACAAUGACUGUGAUGCAGUCCAUCUGUUCAGACAGACCUCUCCCAGACAAGCAUCUUGUUGUAAAUAGCUGUGGAGCUGGUUCCCAAUGUAAACUUGCAACAAGUUGAGUUUGCUCCCCACAACAUUUUUGUUAGCUUCAAAUAUCUGAGCAAUUGAUGGCAAAUGAAACAGGCUGUUUAUGUACCUGAACAAGAAGAUGAAUUGGAAAGUAAUCCAGGGAAAUGGAAUUAAAAGUGAAUUUGAAGUCGAAGUGAGUAGAUAAAAGGAGAUGGAUGAUAUCAUAGUUUGAGAUGAAUUGUCUGUAUGAAACAGCAUAUCUUUUACGGUCAGGUGUGUCUACAAUCAAAACGAAUCAUGUCUCCAUAGUUUAAUCAAUUCAUUGAAUUAGACAUGUAUAGACAAUUCAACUCUGAUUAAAAGCCUCUUAACAAAAAGGGGCUUCCUCUAUGUUCACUCGGAGGGGUGUAUGAGGAAAAGAAAAGGAGGAAAACAAACUUUCCCAUGAAAAUACCGCGAAGGUGUAUCAGGCUCUUUGUAGUUUAGACUGUCAGUGAGCAUUUAUCCUUGUACA